CUCCAAGACUCCAACUGUCAACAAUCAUAAAUUGACAACAAACCUAUGAACUGUCUAAUAACUUGUCGGCAAAAUCUAACUAUGUGAAUAUAUGUUCCGCGUCGUCAGUCCUGGAAUCACUGAGGUUGGCUCCACGAAAGGGGAGCUGCUGGAGGAGGAGAGGCUGCUGGAAUAGUCUGCACAUCAUUCCUUGGGGAACCUCAUUCACGAGAUUCGAGGUAUUUGAAGCAUAAGGAGAUUUGGUGGCCAGUGCCAAGGAUACCAAACAUCUGGGCAGCAUCGGUGUCUUCCAGGGAAUGUACCAGUUCAAGAUAGUUUUUUUACCUUGCUGUGAGUAUUACUUCAUUUUGCUUCCGAUUCACCUAAUAAAUGCUUGAACUUUUGCAUUCGUAUUUUUUUCAUCUUUUAUU